rnacentral:rRNA from 1 species
AUUGAACGCUGGCGGCAUGCCUUACACAUGCAAGUCGAACGGCAGCACGGGAGCAAUCCUGGUGGCGAGUGGCGAACGGGUGAGUAAUAUAUCGGAACGUGCCCAGUCGUGGGGGAUAACGUAGCGAAAGUUACGCUAAUACCGCAUACGAUCUAUGGAUGAAAGCGGGGGAUCGCAAGACCUCGCGCGAUUGGAGCGGCCGAUAUCAGAUUAGGUAGUUGGUGGGGUAAAGGCUCACCAAGCCGACGAUCUGUAGCUGGUCUGAGAGGACGACCAGCCACACUGGGACUGAGACACGGCCCAGACUCCUACAGGAGGCAGCAGUGGGGGAAUUUUGGGACAAUGGGCGCAAGCCUGAUCCAGCAAUGCCGCGUGCAGGAAGAAGGCCUCGGUGUAACGCUUAUCGGAGAAAGAUCACGGAUAACACCUAGUGGUUCG